GAUGAACGCUGGCGGCGUGCCUAAUACAUGCAAGUCGAGCGAACAGACGAGGAGCUUGCUCCUCUGACGUUAGCGGCGGACGGGUGAGUAACACGUGGAUAACCUACCUAUAAGACUGGGAUAACUUCGGGAAACCGGAGCUAAUACCGGAUAAUAUAUUGAACCGCAUGGUUCAAUAGUGAAAGACGGUUUUGCUGUCACUUAUAGAUGGAUCCGCGCCGCAUUAGCUAGUUGGUAAGGUAACGGCUUACCAAGGCGACGAUGCGUAGCCGACCUGAGAGGGUGAUCGGCCACACUGGAACUGAGCCACGGUCCAGGCUCCUACGGGAGGCAGCAGUAGGGAAUCUUCCGCAAUGGGCGAAAGCCUGACGGAGCAACGCCGCGUGAGUGAUGAAGGUCUUCGGAUCGUAAAACUCUGUUAUUAGGGAAGAACAAAUGUGUAAGUAACUAUGCACGUCUUGACGGUACCUAAUCAGAAAGCCACGGCUAACUACGUG
rnacentral:rRNA from 1 species